rnacentral:misc_RNA from 1 species
AGACUGCAGGAGAGCGGCAACGCCAUUAUUUGGCAACGCCCACCGAAGAAGUAAAUCUUUCAGGUGCCUAAUUCAAAACCAUGAAUAAGGUGAGGACUGUAGUUGGAGG